rnacentral:misc_RNA from 1 species
GGCGGUGGUGUUUGAUCAUGAUGGUGAGAUAACUUUCACUGAUAUUUUUGGUUUGCAAUUGAUUCUCUUAAUCAUUGAUCAAGCUUCAUUUCUCUCAUUUUACUUGUUACACAAUAGUCAUUUCCAGCUGUUUGACAUGCUAAUCGAGAAUCUAUUUGUGCAUGAGUGUAGUCUUUCAAAGGUCAACCUGAGACUGAAAUUUGAAUGAACAGCAAAUUAUGUGACUUGCAGUGUGUUCAGAUAUAUUGUCCUAAUCUGUUAUAGCUGCUUUUCACAUGUUUGCUUUUUUAUUUAUUUAUUUUUGCUAAGUUCUGGUGAUACAUUUACUGUUUUGAUGGAUUAUAUUUUUUUAGAGGAAAUACUGUAUGCCGCAAGCUCCAGGAAGAUUGGAGUGGUUGAGUAUUUAGGUGAAACCCUUCUGGUAGUGAAGAAUGUCCAAUUUUUUGUUCCAGUUCAUUGGCAGAUUUUUUUUUGGCUGGGAGUUUGGUGGGGGGAGGGGAGGGGAGAAGCUUCCUGUGGUAUGGUACGGUAUAGUUAGGCUACGGCGGUCAUAGUUAUGAUUGAUAUUUUUGUAAUAUCUAGUUUCUCAAAUUCCUAUUUGUAGGGGAAAAUUCUGGGUAAUUUUCAUCCACUGUCCUUGAACUUUAGGGGUUGUUUAAAUAAAGUCCUUGAAUUUCAAUUUGUAUCACAAAAAUCAUUUAACUUUAAUUUUAUAUCAGCUAAAGUCCUUCUGGUCGAAUUCCGUUUGGAAUUCUGGCCAAGUGCUGACCUGAACAUGCCAUGUUGGCUUUAACGCAAUAAAAUACAUUUUUUUUCUCUGACACGUGUAUUUUAAUAAUAAAAAAUAAUUUUCUCUCUCCAUGAUCUCUUUAUCUUUUCUUUUCAUUCAAUGUGAUAAACCAAAAUUAAUGACAAAUCAAAACCACUUGUGUUUCAAUCAAAAUUAAUAUACACAGAAAAGAAAAUCAACAUUUAGAAUAAAAAAAAUUAAAAUCAUAAGAAAUAAAAAUCAUCAUGUGUCUCAAUACUCAUGUACAAUAUCAAUAAUUUCCAUAAUAUUUCAAUCAAACCUAGAUUUAUCACAAUAACCAGAUAAGUGCAUGAGAGAGAACCCAAAUUUAAUCAACACAUUCAUCAUAAUACCCAGAUGACUGGGUGAGAGAGAACUCAGAUUCAUUUACAACACCAAGAUAC